GUCUUUUUGAUUAUAAUUUAAAGUCUAACCUGCCCACUGAAUUUUUUGAAGGGCCGCGGUAUUUUGACUGUGCAAAGGUAGCAUAAUCAUUAGUCUUUUAAUUGGAGGCUUGUAUGAAUGGUUGGAUGAGGUAUUAACUGUCUCAAUUUAAUAAGUAAUAGAAUUUUAUUUUUAAGUUAAAAAGCUUAAAUUUAAUUAAAAGACGAGAAGACCCUAUAGAUCUUUAUAAUUUAUUUUAUAAUAAUUUUUUAGAUAAAAUUUAUUUUUAUAUAAUUAAUUAUUUUAUUGGGGUGAUAAAAAAAUUUAUAAAACUUUUUUUGUGUAUAAACAGUGAUAUUUGGUUAAUUGAUCCAUUUUUUGUGAUUAUAAGAUUAAGUUACCUUAGGGAUAACAGCGUAAUUUUUUUGGAGAGUUCUUAUCGAUAAAAAAGAUUGCGACCUCGAUGUUGAAUUAAAGGUUAAUUUUAGGUGUAGAAGUUUAAAAUUUUGGUCUGUUCGACCAUUAAAUC
rnacentral:rRNA from 1 species